rnacentral:lncRNA from 1 species
CCACUGGUACAAGUUGCUGUGGUAGAAAAUACAAAUGUACCUUGGCUUUGCACUCUGUUUUUUCAUCUAGAUCUUACUAUCCAUUCCUUUCCUCUUUCAGGUAUUUAUCUGCCAUAUACUUGGGGCUUCAGCAAAUGUUCAGGGCACAUCUCUGUGUGUCUGCACAAUACCUUUGCACACACAUCUUCACUGAUAUGAGAAUUGCUGCUCCACAGCCAGGUUAUUCUGAAGGGGAAGA